rnacentral:rRNA from 1 species
AGCGAACGCUGGCGGCAGGCUUAACACAUGCAAGUCGAGCGGGCCCUUCGGGGUCAGCGGCAGACGGGUGAGUAUCGCGUGGGAACGUGCCCUUCGGUUCGGAAUAACCCUGGGAAACUAGGGCUAAUACCGGAUACGCCCUUAUGGGGAAAGGUUUACCGCCGAAGGAUCGGCCCGCGUCGGAUUAGCUUGUUGGUGAGGUAACGGCUCACCAAGGCGACGAUCAGUAGCUGGUCUGAGGGGAUGAUCAGCCACACUGGGACUGGGACACGGCCCAGACUCCUACGGGAGGCAGCAGUGGGGAAUAUUGGACAAUGGGGGCAACCCUGAUCCAGCCAUGCCGCGUGAGUGAUGACGGCCUUAGGGUUGUAAAGCUCUUUUACCCGGGACGAUAAUGACGGUACCGGGUGAAUAAGCCCCGGCUAACUUCGUGCCAGCAGCCGCGGUAA